AAUAAAUCCCAGUUCAAAGUAACAAGUGCAAUCAUUCCAGGUACAAAAUGACUUGUGUGAUAAUGCCUGGUGCAAAAUCACUAGUGUAAUCAUUUGUUUGAACAUUUCUUGGAUGAAAAACACUAGUUUACUAUGUCCAUUUUGUUUUAGCUAAAUCAGCUAUGCCAGUUUUAAUUAUUCAAAUACCUCCCAAAAAUACCAAGCCAAUUUAAAAAAAAAAUAUUUCCCCUUAAAAAACACUCUUUGAAAUAGUGGUGUAUAUUUAACACUGAUCCCGGAUUAAAAACCCUAGUGAAUUUUUGUUGGUGGAUAAAAAACACUAGGGAUUUUGUUCAUCCGGAUAAAGUACACUGGCGGAAUCAAACCACUGCUACAUCCAUAUACUUAAAUUCCAUUUGAACCAUUUGAUCGUAAUAACCAAUGACACAGAAGAACUCCAACCCAUAUAUCAUACUGUGCCAUACGUUUUGUUGAAAAGUCAUUAUAUAACUUUGUUUUAAAAACAAUGUUAUAUAUGAACAUAUACAAUAUCUCUACACUUACAUAUGAAACGUAGCUUACAACAAAAACAUUUGUGAAAUAAAGGUACCACUGAGGUUCUGGUUGCAUAUAAAGAAUAUAGAAACAUUGACCAAAGAAAGAAGGUAUUGAUAAAAAUGGGGGGGGGGGUAAAAAUACAUAAUUGAGGAUAAUAGGUUAUGAAAUAUAGAAUCGAGGUAAAAUGGCAUAAGAAAUUCAAGAAUACAUAAAUGAAGAAAC
rnacentral:lncRNA from 1 species